rnacentral:tRNA from 1 species
CAAAAAAUAGUUUAUUUAAAAUAUUAAUUUUGGAUAUUAAUGAUAGAAUAAUAAAUUCUUUUUUUGA